UGCAGAUGGAAAAGGCUCUGGCUAAUUUGUGUCUAUGGGUGGAUCCCCACCUUAGGGUGCAGCCCAAGUCUUAUGCCUUCACUUGAAGACCCCCCUCUGAUCUCUACAGCUCUGUGAUGGUAGAACUGUUAAUUUCACCUCCUUUCGACAUAUGAGAAAACUAAAGCUCAGAGAGGUCAAGUCAGCUGUCCAAGGUCACACAGCUGGAGUAGCAGAACGAGGAUUUGAACCCAGAUCUCCUGCCUCUAGCGUCCAUGAUUGUGAACACUUCACUGUGUUGCCUUCAUUCAUUCUAUGAAGGCCUUGGACUAGAUUUCAUCCAUGAUCCCACAUUACACUCACGUCUUCAUGUCUCCUCAGCCUCUGCUUGGCUGUGACAGUCUUGCAGAUUUUCCUUGUUUUUGAUGGCCUUGAUAGUUUUGAGGAGUACUAGUCAGAUAUUUUGGAGAAAGUCCAUCUGUGGGAAUGUUUUUCUCAGAACGGGACCAGGUGCUGUGGUUUGAACGUGUCCCCUCAAAGUUCGCGUGUUGGAAACUGAAUCUCCAAUGCAACAGUGUUAAGAGGUAGGACCUUUAAAAGGGGAUUAGGUCGUGAGGGCUCUGCCUUCAAGAAUGAAUGAAUGCCUUUAUCUCUGGAUGGGUUAGUUAUUUUGAGAAGAGUUACUGAUAAAAGGAUAAGUUUGCCUCCUUUCGCUUUCCUUCCCUUCUCUCUUUCUCUCCCUCUUUCUCCCUCCCUCCCUCUCUCUCUCCCCACUUCCCAUGUGCUCUCUUGCCCUCCCACUUCGGCCAUCAGAAGACACACAAGAAGGCCGUUGCUGAUGCAGGCCCCUCGACCUUGGACUUCUCAGCCUCCAGAGCUGCAAGAAAUAAAUCUCUGUUCUUCA